rnacentral:rRNA from 1 species
GUAGAGGAUGCUUCUGGGCAGCGGCCCGUCUAAGAGCCUUGGAACAGGACGUCAUAGAGGGUGAGAAUCCCGUAUGCGACCGGUUGGCACCCGUCACGUAGCUCCUUCGACGAGUCGAGUUGUUUGGGAAUGCAGCUCUAAAUGGGUGGUAAAUUCCAUCUAAAGCUAAAUACCGGCCAGAGACCGAUAGCGCACAAGUAGAGUGAUCGAAAGAUGAAAAGCACUUUGGAAAGAGAGUUAAAAAGCACGUGAAAUUGUUGAAAGGGAAGCGCAUGCAACCAGACUUGUCGGCGGUGUUCCGCCGGUCUUCUGACCGGUCUACUCGCCGCCGACAGGCCAGCAUCGUGUGGGUGCGCCGGAUAAAGACGCCGGGAAUGUGGCCCCUCGGGGUGUUAUAGCCCGGUGCAUAAUACGGUGCCGCCCGCGCGAGGUCCGCGCUUCGGCUAGGAUGCUGGCGUAAUGGUCGUAUGCGGCCCGUCUUGAAACACGGACCAAGGAGUCUAACAUCUGUGCGAGUGUUCGGGUGUCAAACCCCUACGCGGAAUGAAAGUGAACGGAGGUGGGAGCUUCGGCGCACCAUCGACCGAUCCUGAUGUCCUCGGAUGGAUUUGAGUAAGAGCAUAGCUGUUGGGACCCGAAAGAUGGAGAACUAUGCCUGAAUAGGGUGAAGCCAGAUUGGAAACUCUGGUGGAGGCUCGCAGCGGUUCUGACCUGCAAAUCGAUCGUCAAAUUUGGGUAUAGGGGCGAAAG